rnacentral:SRP_RNA from 2 species
GCUGGGCAUGGUAGUGCAUGCCUGUAAUCCCAGCUACCCGGGAAGCUGAGGUAGGAGAAUUGCUCGAACCUGGGAGGCAGAGGUUGCAGUGAGCUGAGAUCGUGCCACUGCACUCCAGCCUGGGCAACAGAGCAAGACUCUGUCUCAA